AUCCUUCCCUUGAAGAGAAGAGUAGUCUUGGAAAACGUUGCAGAGAGGUUCUAAAUGGUGAAAAGAACCACGGAAACAAGAUGAAGAUGGUCUCUGAGGAAAAGUCGCCGAUAGGUAGGCGUCUUCGGUGUAGUCAAUCGAUAUUUUGACUGCCAAUUACUAUUUGUUGUUGGCGUAAGGAGAGCUUGGCUCUCGAAAAAAGGUGGUACCACGUGCAAUCGUCCUUUUA
rnacentral:ncRNA from 1 species